UAGACGUGAUGGAUAAGGAAGAAGGGAAGAAAAGUUGCAUGCCUUUGAAAGGAUGGUCACUGUCAAAGGAAAUGGAUCUGUAAUGAUGGCUGGGGUUGCUUUUUGACAGGUUAUUAAUCUUCCAUUCUGAGCUUAUUAGGAAAGCAUGAGGCUGCUGCCACUCUCAAUAAUCGGAGCAGAGCAGGCAGAUUUCAGGGACGGGCGAGGAAGAUCGCUAUGAUCUCGUCUGAUCCCGCAUCUCAGGAGAGAAUGGGGCCACAUCAAACAUCUGCGCACUGUGCUGCUGCUGCACUGCAACAGAAGACUAUAUGAGUGUUAAAGGUGUGUUUCAAGACCUCUGACCUUGGUUAAUUUUGGCAAUGAUUUUGUCAUGGUAUUGACCCAGGCAGGGAGACGAGGAGACGGACGCAAGUGCAGAAGCGUAUCAGCAGGCUGUACUGGAUACCGGCCCUCCAGGACCAAGAUUAGGCAUCAG
rnacentral:lncRNA from 1 species